rnacentral:rRNA from 1 species
CCUACGGGAGGCAGCAGUGGGGAAUAUUGGACAAUGGGCGAAAGCCUGAUCUAGCCAUGCCGCGUGUGUGAAGAAGGUCUUCGGAUUGUAAAGCACUUUAAGUUGGGAGGAAGGGCAGUUACCUAAUACGUAAUUGUUUUGACGUUACCGACAGAAUAAGCACCGGCUAACUCUGUGCCAGCAGCCGCGGUAAU